GGAUUAGCUAGUUGGUGAGGUAAUGGCUCACCAAGGCGACGAUCCGUAACUGGUCUGAGAGGAUGAUCCAGUCACACUGGAACUGAGACACGGUCCAGACUCCUACGGGAGGCAGCAGUGGGGAAUAUUGGACAAUGGGCGAAAGCCUGAUCCAGCCAUGCCGCGUGUGUGAAGAAGGUCUUCGGAUUGUAAAGCACUUUAAGUUGGGAGGAAGGGCAGUUACCUAAUACGUGAUUGUUUUGACGUACCGACAGA
rnacentral:rRNA from 1 species